CGUCGAUCAUUUCCGUGUCGACAUCGUCAAUGUGGGGAUCAUCGGUCUUGUUCAUGUCCGACCAUAUUUGAUAUAAGCUUGCUCUUUGCCACAUCAUGUAGCAGUUUACGGCUAUAAGGAUCACCAGCGAUGACAUCUAAAUGGAGGAAGAGAAGUUUCAGACACCAAAUUUCUUCUUGGAAAUCCUCGUUCACCCGCACAUGAGCAGAGGAGCUUCCGCUGAUCCUCUGUGCAUGCCUAGAGUCACUGUGUCGCAAAUAAGGCCAUAGAGUUUGCAUCCUUUUCCUUCUACCACCUCUCGCCCAGAUGUACAACGGUGAUGAGCCGAACGUUUCAGGAAUGCCGAGGGUGGAGUACACGAGGACCGAGUGCUGUGCCUCAGUUCAAUGGUGCGUAGCUCACCUGGAUGCCCUGUGCACUGUUCCAGUUUGUCCUUCAACCUCAUCACGUGAAAAGGGAAUUCGGCCAUGCCAACAAGAUCCAUGAACUCCUGGAACUCUUCUUCCGUCGAGUCAGAAAGCUGCUGCACAUUGUCUAAGCCUAGGGUCAAGUUCAACACUUAAGUUCAACACUUAAGUUAAACACGUUCCAAGUCUCAUGAAGACGAUUUACUAAAUGCGCUGUAGACCACGCAAAGCGCUGCUCUACAAGCGAGAGAAAU